rnacentral:rRNA from 1 species
UACAGAGGAGCCAAGCGUUGUCCGGAUUGACUGGGCGUAAAGCGCACGCAGGCGGAUGCGCGCGUGGGGUGUGAAAUCUGGCCGCUUAACGGCCAGGCGCCAUCCCAUACGGCGCGUCUGGAGUGAUGCAGAGGUCGAUGGAAUUGCCGGUGUAGUGGUGAAAUGCGUAGAGAUCGGCAGGAACACCCAGGGGGAAACCAGUCGACCGGGGCAUCUACUGACGCUGAGGUGCGAGAGCGUGGGGAGCGAACCGG